AGCAGGGGCGGAGUGCUUACCAUGCAAGUCGAGCGGUAAGGCCCUUCGUGGGUACACGAGCGGCGAACGGGUGAGUAACACGUGGGUGAUCUGCCCUGUACUUCGGGAUAAGCCUGGGAAACUGGGUCUAAUACCGGAUAUGACCUUACAUCGCAUGGUGUUUGGUGGAAAGAUUUAUCGGUACAGGAUGGGCCCGCGGCCUAUCAGCUUGUUGGUGGGGUAAUGGCCUACCAAGGCGACGACGGGUAGCCGGCCUGAGAGGGCGACCGGCCACACUGGGACUGAGACACGGCCCAGACUCCUACGGGAGGCAGCAGUGGGGAAUAUUGCACAAUGGGCGAAAGCCUGAUGCAGCGACGCCGCGUGAGGGAUGACGGCCUUCGGGUUGUAAACCUCUUUCGACAGGGACGAAGCGCAAGUGACGGUACCUGUAGAAGAAGCACCGGCCAACUACGUGCCAGCAGCCGCGGUAAUACGUAGGGUGCGAGCGUUGUCCGGAAUUACUGGGCGUAAAGAGCUUGUAGGCGGUUUGUCGCGUCGUCCGUGAAAACUUGGGGCUCAACCCCAAGCUUGCGGGCGAUACGGGCAGACUUGAGUACUGCAGGGGAGACUGGAAUUCCUGGUGUAGCGGUGAAAUGCGCAGAUAUCAGGAGGAACACCGGUGGCGAAGGCGGGUCUCUGGGCAGUAACUGACGCUGAGAAGCGAAAGCGUGGGUAGCGAACAGGAUUAGAUACCCUGGUAGUCCACGCCGUAAACGGUGGGCGCUAGGUGUGGGUUUCCUUCCACGGGAUCCGUGCCGUAGCUAACGCAUUAAGCGCCCCGCCUGGGGAGUACGGCCGCAAGGCUAAAACUCAAAGGAAUUGACGGGGGCCCGCACAAGCGGCGGAGCAUGUGGAUUAAUUCGAUGCAACGCGAAGAACCUUACCUGGGUUUGACAUACACCGGGAACCUGCAGAGAUGUAGCUCCUGUUCGUCCGUCUGUGCGCUGUAUCGCA
rnacentral:rRNA from 1 species